rnacentral:lncRNA from 1 species
CUCUGCUGAGUCAUGCAGGUUGUCAGGGAAGUGGGGGAAAGCUGGCAGUCACAGGCCUCACCCAGCUCCCACACAAACCAAAGGGCCAGUCUUACUCCCACUGUGCCCCCAGCAACAGCCCCAAGUGUGUUUCCAGGGGGAGGGGGAGACAGCCUUGAAAACUUGCCUGAGGCUUUCUCUGCCUCCCAGCUGCCAAAGACAAGGGCUUUAGAUCUUCUCCUGCCUGUGAAGUCUGCAAGCUGGAUUCGCACCCUCCCCUGAGUUCUGGUCAGGAGGCUUCUCACCCUGUUCAAAUUGUUACAAAGUUCAGCUAGAGAAUCCUUUCUCCCUGUGGAGUUUUGCCCCUGCUCCUCUGGCCACCUUCCUGAUGGAUUCCUGUGGUGCCAGCCAGGAGUGGGCUGCUUGGGGACCCAGCAAGCUCCCAGGGCCUUUCUGCUGCUUCCCCCACCCCUGUAUUUCACUUGGCUCAGCUCUCUAACUUGAUCAGCUCCAGGUAAAGUCAGAAACUUCUCCUGCAAACAGACCUUCAUCUUCUCCAGUGAGGGUGUGUGUUCAGGAGACGAGGGUCUCCCUUUUCCACUUACACGGCUGGGGCACUCGCAGUAUUUGGGGUGUCUACUGGGUCCUUCAGGAGCAGUCCACUUCCUUCAGAGGGUCUGUGGAUCCUCUCAGGAUUGCUGGUUUGUUCUUGCAGUUGAUAUGGAGCUAAAAUUCACAAUGCAAGCCUCUGCAUGCUGCUCUGUCUGGAGCAGAAAUCUAGUCCCGCCUCUCAUCCACCAUCGUUCCCCCCACCUCCAGAAAACUUUUCGAAUGAAUAAAUAAAUUCACAUAGUUGGAAGACACAAGAUGAACACACAAAAAUCAACCACAUUUCUAUAUACUAACAAUAAAUGGAAACCAAAUUAAAAGCAUAAUAGAACUGACAAUCACACCAAAUGUAGAAAGUAAAAAGUUUCCUCUUCAAAGUUUUCCUUCUUGUUGAAGAAUAAAUUGUGUGUUGGAAAUGAUGGUUUCUUUUGAGGACUAACUUUCUUCAAGCCUCCUUGCUUUGUGUUAAUAACUCUUUGUUAAGCCCUAGCCUAUGUAACUGUUGAAUGUGCUCACAGGCCCGUUCCAGCUCACAGCCUAUGCCCCUUCCUUAUUUGGAAAUGUUAUUGUUUCCUUAAAACUUUUGUAACCAACUUCUUUGCUCUUCCCUGUACUUACCUAUUUAGGAAAGUUGUAGGCUAUUAGCAAAUCGGAUAUCAGUUUAAGAUUGUGAGGUCCUGCUCCAGCCAACGGACAUAGGACACGCAGCAAGGACAACCCAAAUGUGUAAGGGAUAAAUAUGUCUGCUUUUCCUUUGUUCAAGUGUUCUCCUGCCAUUGUUCCAUCUGCAAUUGAGCACCCUUUCUGCAGAAAGUAAAGAUGGCCUUGCUGAGAGAUCUUUUGUCUCUGUGCUGACUUUCCUUUGUGGCACCAAUGAUGUAUUUCUAACAAUUUUGAUAUUUCUAACAAUUUUGGUGGCAAUCGUAUGGGGAUACAUUCUCCUCCGGGGGCAUCUCUAGUCCUCUUUCAUGAGGAGGCACCACACCACCUCUUGCGGUGGCCUCAGGGGUAAGGGACCAAGACCCACCUGGUGCGAGGAAUAACCCGAGCUCUCAGCAAUGCAGAAAGAAACUGGCCAGCAACCUAGCUUAAAGGAUCCUCACAUACUGCAGCGAUGACUUUGUGCACAGACCAAGGAAGGCAAAGCCACAGGAGCCGGUCUUUUAGCACAGAUGCCGCCCUUGGAGUUUCCAGUACAUCAGCAUCAGCCUGGGGAUCACAUUCUCAUCAAAGGAUAGAAAGAAGGGAAACUCGGGCCAGCCUUGGAAGGACCGUACCUUGUGCUGCUAACCAUCGAGACUGCUGUUCGUACAGCGGAAAGGGAUGGACACAUGACACCUGAGUCAAGCAAGUGCCAUUAUCCUCAGAAUCAUGGGCCAUUGUUCCUGGGUCAAGCCCUACCAAAUUAAAGCUAAGGAAAGCUUAGUCUAUCUUUUUCCUUUCCUUUCCUAACCCAGUGCUUAAAUCCAUUACUAUUCCUACCACCAGCAACUCUAACCCCACUGUAGGGCACUUCUGUGGUUUAGGAGCAGAAGUCACUGGAAAGGAUCCUAUAGGCUUCUUUAAGGUGCACUUUGUUCUCCCUCCUCUACCUCCUACAACUGCACCUUUCCCAAACCUACAAAAUCAAACUAUGACUCGCCUCAUGCCAAAUGACAAAAGCAAGGUCUCAGUAGUAGAAAUAGGAGACCUAUGGCAAACCAUAGCCAUUGAAACAGGGUAUAAAGAUGUAAAUGCCUGGUUAAAAUAGAUUAAAUAUUCUGUUUGCACUUUAAA